AAGCAGAUCGAAUUGUCGCACGGUCAGAAAAGUUAAAACUAAAAAAAAAAAAAAAAAAAAAAAAAAAAAACAAACCAAAAAAACUUAGACGCUCACUUGGGGAAAAAGGGGGACGCCUAACUGCUAAACUGCUAAAAGUGAAGAAAAGGCAACAGGUGAAUAGAACAAUCUAAAAUUAACAAGCACACGGAAGUAAAAUAUUUUAACUGGUACAAACAAUACACAUCACGCUGCGAUCCUCGAUCCCCACUGGCCGCGGGGCCAAGGGCCAUCCCCGAGCCAAGGGUUGCUAAACCUGCAAUGCUCUGAGCCGGGGAUGGGCGAGGAGGGGAUGGCACUGCGCAGUGCCAAGUAAGUGUUGCUGAGAAAAUUUUGUAGGUGGCAACAGGAAGUUGCAGAAACCAAAAGUAAAAACACGUACAUGGCGAGGACCAGCUGGCUUGAAGGAGGAAAAGAGAAAAAAGGGGAAACUGAUAGAAACGAUGUGAAAUGAAAUCAGGUUUAUAGCUACCUGCUCUCUGAUUCAGUGCUUACCUGGACAGGCUGUAUACCUCAGACUCCAGCUGUAUAAAAAGAGCGAUUUGCGAAGUCACAAGAAAAAACUUUUUUUCUAGGGAAACCCAUUUUGAUUAGACUUGGAGGAGCCAUUGUUCAUGGAAAGAAAUACUAAAUUUACAUAAAGAUGGGAAAUGCAAUAUGCUUCCAGUGUGCCCAUCAUGUAGGAAUGUGUACUCCUGGGGACACAGGAUUUGAAGGUAUGCCAGGCUGGGAAUUGAAUGGAAAUGCAGUGAACAGAAACAGAUACUUGCAAGUUAACAAAUGUUCUCUCCUGCUGGAAACUGGACAUGGCUGCCAAGGUAGGAGCUAUUUGAAAAAUCAGAAGUCAGAUCCAGGAAGAGAGGAGUCUGUAGAUGUAACAAAAUCAAAUCUGUGUUACCAGAAAUAAUUCAUUUUCAGGAAGAGCAAAGCUUUAAAGUUUCCACACAGAGAAUGGGAAGCAGAAAUUCCCCACUGGUGAGCCUGAUGCAAAAGCAAGCUAUUGAAACUAAAAUUAAAUAUGUGGUGGGAUGGUGUGUAUCUUUUUAAAUAAAACAAGAAGCAGUUGUGAACCCUUCGUUCCCAUCAAUCUUUCCAAAUAUGUGUUAUUAUAAAUGUACUGACUGUCCCAGUUUGGGAAUGCUUAGUAGUAGAGCUUCACUUUGAAACUAAUAGCAUGCAGUGCAUAUUUACUGAAUACGUAGCAGCAAAUCUGAAAUUACCAGCAUCCUACUUACCACACGUGUAUCAGCAAAUAUGUGUAUUAAUAGAGGAGAGGUUCUCUAAGGUAUCUUAAUAUAUGUAACAUAUGCUUUCAGACACACAUUUUCAAUUCCAACCCCUUUUUUGUUUAUCCAUUUAUAAAAUAUAAUCUUUGAUAAUACAGACUCAAACCCUGAUCCUGGCUCAAAAAUUAAAGAAUGCCCAAGACUUAUAGGAAAAAUUGCAGUUUGCAUUGGUGCCUCUUAGUUUCAGUUUUGGGUCCAUGUUCAUGUCCUGUACUUAAAUUCUAUUAUACAUUAAUGUAAGAGGAGAUACAAGAUGUACAGUCCUGGUAAGCCCACUACCAACCAAAAUUUUAGAAAGAACAUGCAGGAAAAGAUGAGAUUUGGUAUAUGUCAUGUGAUAACCUAUGGAACUCUAAUACAGUUUUCUCUUAUUGAAAAAGUGGGUUUGUAUUAAAGCUUAUCAAAGUUGUAACAAUGCCAAAGCCUACUUCUUAUAGGAUUUAUCCUUUAUUAAUGAGGCUUCUGCAUUUAAUGUGAGCUGCACAGUAACUAUCACUCAGCAUAAUCAGUUAGCAGUUUCUGUAUUGCAAGUCACAAGCAUUAUAUGUGCCUAUGAAUACCUACAGCUCACUUCAAAGCAGAGCUAAUGGCUGAGCAAAUUUCAACCAUGCCUGUAGAGAUAACCAAAUACAGAAUUUCAGAUACAGGAGGGCCCAACCACAGAGCUCACAGUAAUGCACAGCAGCCUUUUGCUUCCAAGAAGACUACUUUGCUUUUCCAAACAAAAAGCCUUUCAAGGUGCCAAUAUCAUGACUAAGAGCCUUGUAUUUCUAGCAGGAGUCUUUGUUGCUUAUCAAAGGAUAAUUUUUUUGCCCUUAUGCCUAUAUGUUUUUAACAAUAGCAAUGCCUGUAGAAAAUGUCAACACCUGUCUAUCCGUAAAUCUUCACCCCAUCUCUGUUCUGCUCACCACAUGAAAUAGAUACUUUGCAUGAGCAACCUUCCUCCUUUUACAUUCAACACAUUGUAAUCCAGUUUUUCUGGCUAAGUUGAGUGCAUCCACAUGUGCCAGUGAGCACAAAGGGAAUGGUGGAAAAGGAUUUGCUGCCUACAGUAUCUCAUGAGAAUAGCAAGAGGUUCUGGAGAUGGUAACUUCUGCUUUUCUCUACUUCCUCCAGCAAUGACUUUGAAACUGGGACAUCUGAACAGGGAUCACUAGGUAUUUAUUGCCUUUUUUUACCUCGGUGCUUACAAUGCCUAAGUCCUUACAGGAGAAAACAAGAAACCCAAAACAAACAAAAACAAAACCAAAAACUAACUUAAAAAAAACCCCAAAAAUCAACCAAACCAAACCCAACAGCCACAUGAAGGCUUACAAGAGUUACAGGAGCAGUUAUUUCCUGAUGGAGAGGACUCUCUCCAAGAAGGUGAUGGUACCCACAAAGAAGAUGAGCAGACAAAGAUUUCAGUGCUACCUAGACUCUGCUGCUAAGUUUAAUAUUAGAACAUGGCUCUGGUUUGAGUAAAGUGCCUACUAAUAGUCUAAAAUAUCAGCCCUGGACAUGUUUAAAGAUAGUUUAAAUGGAGAAGAAAGUUGGACAAUUGCAACUUUUACCAUAAAUGCAGCUAAAAGCCAAAUGAUUCUUUCUUGACAGAUACACAAGUUUAGUUUGAUGGAGUUGAUCCCAUGCAUGGCUGUGAAAAAAGUCACUGAAAAGCAACUGAUUUGGAUAAAGAGAGAUUGUAUCCAGAGAAAUCUUUAAGCAGUAACUUCAAAAUUCCCAGAGGCUUGACAAAGGCCAAGCAUUCACAGCAGUUGCACCCAGUUUCAAAAGGGAGAGAGACAGCAGUGAGAAAGCUUGUGAGGAGGAAAGAAAAGGUAGCAGCUAGGAACAGCAAAUUCUUAUGAGUGGAGCUGAACUCCCUGAAGGAUGCACAGCACAGCAUCAGUGUGUGCCAUCUACUAAAGUCUUCAGAACUGGCAAAAGUACAUCAGGACCAAGAAGCCCACUGGAGUCUGACAAAUCAAAGGACAAAAAAAGAGGGUAAAAAAAAGAGGAGAGGACAAAAUGUUUCCAGAGAAGCUAAAUGAUCUAUUUGCAUAUGUUCACUGGAAU